rnacentral:lncRNA from 1 species
GAAAGACUCCUGCUGCUUCCUACUAGACGUGAGGCUUGCACUGCUCCCGCCAUGGAGCUCAGAUCAUGCCCUGGAGAAGCAGGUGACAUCGCGGAAUUUUCCUGUUCCAGAUGCCAGAAGUCUGAAAUGAAGGUGUAAAGCAGGGUGGUUCCUUCUGGAGGCUCUGAGAGAAUCACCCCAGGCCUCUCUCCAGCUUCUGGUGCUGGUAUUCUCAGGCUUGUAGGCGCAUCACCCAUGUCUGCCUCCAUCUUCACAUGGCCUUCUCCUCUGUGUCUGCCUGAAGUCUCCCUUCAUUUCUCUUGUAAGGACAUCAGUCAUUGGAUUUAGAGCCCACCCUAAACCCAGAAUGAUCUCAUCUCAAGAUUACAUCUGCACAGACGCUAUUUCCAGAUAAGGUCACAGUCAAAGUGCUGGCUUGUGUUUGACACCAUGCCUGACACAUUGGGGGUGCUCAGUAGACCUGUGUGAGAUGGACAGCCUCCCGUACAGAUGGACGGACAGAUGUACAGCCCCGUGGAGAUGCCCUGUGUAAGCCACUGAAGCCUCUGGCCAACAGCAGUGGGAACCUGAGACGUGUCCACAAGCAUGCAUGGGAGCUUGGAAGUGGAUCCUUCAGCCCCAGCCAAGCCUUCAGACGAUGCAGCCUCAGGGACAGUAUGACUGCAGCCUCAUGAGACCCUGAGCCAGAAACACCCCUCCAAGCCACUCCCAGAUGCCUGGCCCUCAGAACCUGGGAGGUAAUAAAUAUUUAUGGCUGUUUGAAGCUGCUGUAUCGGGGGACAAUUUGUUACACAGUAAUAGCUAACUGGUGCAGUCCUGGGACUCUUAGCAGUUUGGAGUAUCAGUUAUUUUGCCAAGGCGGGGAAGUUAACAGUGGUCAUUGCAGCAGCUGCACUUGGGGACCACAAUAAAGAAGCUUUCUCAGACUGGUUUGAACAAAGUGGUGAAUUCUCUGCAAGGACACAGAGGUGUCUCUCAAAACCCAAGGAUGGGACAGCAGGCCUCAAGAAGAACUGGAACCUCUGUCCCUUCUGUGCUUCUUUUUACUCCUGUGUUCUCUGCUUCUUGGAGCACUUGGCAGUUGGGAAGUGGCCAUUUCAAUUCUCGUGGUCAAGAAACCAGCUCAGAAAUAACCCAACCAACACAGGUGGGGUCAGGUGUCCAUCCUGGCUCCAUUUGUCAUGGCGGGAGAUGGUGAUGAAGAGAAACAUCCAGGACCAUUGGUAGGGCACCCGAAUGAGAUUCCAGGAGAGGCCAGUUCUAAGAGAAGGGUACUAGAAAGAUACCCAUUGAAGUCAAUACCACAUGUGGCACAUCCUCCUUUCAGGUGGCAAGUGUGUAGCCAAAGCAAGGUUCAGGGUCCAUAUUUGAAAGUCAGAAACUGAAUAAACUGUUUUCUCCCACCCCGAGCACUGUGGGGAACUCUGCUCACAAAUCCACCAUCCACCAUCACCAGCCGUGCUCAUCUGACCAUUCAUGCAGGCUCACACUUGACCUGAUGUGGGUUCUGUCUCCUUUGCUUGAGAAUUGAAAGGCCUGGGAGAUGCAAAAGCUUUAGGCUCCAGCCAUCUCCCCAUGUCAGGUAGGCCUUUUGCCUAGUGUAUCCAGUUGGUAAUGCUGCAGAGAUGCAUGAAGCUGGAGUCAGAGGCCACCUGUAGUGCUGCCCUGACUUCAGACCUGAGCCCAGCCCAGCAGCAGAGAGGGGGCUGGGAGCCAGAGGAGGCCUCACAGUAACAGCACAGACAGGUGGGGGCCCACAACAGGCCACAUGUGUUCAAACUCGAGUGUGGGCAGAGGAGCAUGGGAAGCUCAGAGCCCUGAGCUCACCCCACACCCAACACGAGUGGGGUCACCCAAAAUCAGCCUGUCAGCACUGUCCCAGCAGCCAGUCGCAUGCUACAUUAACAAAUUUUGCACAGGCCAGCAAGCAGGAUCGCUCACCAGCCACCCUCCUGAACUGGCCUAUGGGGCCCCAGGAUGAUGCCAUAGCCACAAGUCUGGAGUUCCUCAAAGUACCUGGUCAGCACAACUCAGUUAAACAAUGGGCAAAAGACCUGAACAGACACUUCGCCAGAGAAGAUGUACAGAUGCAAGUAAGCAUUUGAAAAGGUGCCCCACAUCGUAUGUCGUUAGGGAAUGGUCCAAUCCAGAACACUGAUGGCACCAAAGGCUGCUGAGCAUGUGGAGCAGCAGAACUCUCAUUCACUGCUGGUGAGAAAAAUGGCGCAGCCCCAAUAGGGAACCCUAAUGCAGACUCUGGACUUCACUGGAAAUGACGUGUCAGUGUAGCUGCGUCAGUUGUAACAAAUGCACCAGUCUGGUGGGCGUGUUGAUAACCGGGGCUGCGCACGUGGGGAGAGAGGACCUGUGGGAAUGCUCUACUUUCCACUCAUUUUUGCUGUGAACUUAAAACUGCUCUUACAAAAUAACAUUGUUUGUUGUUGUUGUUGUUGUUGUUGUUGUUGUUGUUUUUAAGUAUCUAGUCAGCUCCACACAUGACCCGGGCAGAGUGGGAAGUUGUAGAGUGCCCCAAGGAGAGAAAUGGAACCAGGUCUCAUGUGGGGCCAAGUGUGGGCUCCCUGUCCUCUCAGCUGGUCCCAGGAACUGAAGGGAAAUUUAGACAACUUGGAGAAAGACACUCUAGGGCUCGGGGCAAAGGGUGGUGUUGAUGAGAACCAUAUUUUUUUAUUGCUGGUGUAAGCACUUGUAUUUUUCUGAUUUUCCACUGGUUCGAUAAUAAGGGUAAAAGACAAUAAAGCAUACUUUUUAAGCUUU